rnacentral:rRNA from 1 species
UUCAACGGAGAGUUUGAUCCUGGCUCAGGAUGAACGCUGGCGGCGUGCUUAACACAUGCAAGUCGAACGAUGAAGGGAGCUUGCUCCUGGAUUAGUGGCGAACGGGUGAGUAACACGUGAGUAACCUGCCCUUGACUCUGGGAUAAGCCUGGGAAACUGGGUCUAAUACCGGAUAUGACCUUCCAUCGCAUGGUGGUUGGUGGAAAGCUUUUGUGGUUUUGGAUGGACUCGCGGCCUAUCAGCUUGUUGGUGGGGUAAUGGCCUACCAAGGCGACGACGGGUAGCCGGCCUGAGAG